rnacentral:rRNA from 1 species
ACUAUGAUGUGUAGCUGGACUGAGAGGUUGAACAGCCACAUUGGGACUGAGACACGGCCCAAACUCCUACGGGAGGCAGCAGUAGGGAAUUUUCGGCAAUGGAGGAAACUCUGACCGAGCAACGCCGCGUGAACGAUGAAGUACCUCGGUAUGUAAAGUUCUUUUAUUAAGGAAGAAAAAAGAGUGGAAAAACUCCCUUGACGGUACUUAAUGAAUAAGCCCCGGCUAAUUAUGUGCCAGCAGCCGCGGUAAUACAUAAGGGGCGAGCGUUAUCCGGAAUUAUUGGGCGUAAAGGGUGCGUAGGCGGUUUAAUAAGUCUAUAGUUUAAUUUCAGUGCUUAACGCUGUUGUGCUAUAGAAACUGUUUUACUAGAGUGAGUUAGAGGCAAGCGGAAUUCCAUGUGUAGCGGUAAAAUGCGUAAAUAUAUGGAGGAACACCAGAGGCGUAGGCGGCUUGCUGGGACUUUACUGACGCUGAGGCACGAAAGCGUGGGGAGCAAACAGGAUUAGAUACCCUGGUAGUCCACACCGUAAACGAUGAGUACUAAGUGUCGGGUAAAACCGGUACUGAAGUUAACACAUUAAGUACUCCGCCUGAGUAGUACGUACGCAAGUAUGAAACUUAAAGGAAUUGACGGGACUCCGCACAAGCGGUGGAUCAUGUUGUUUAAUUCGAAGAUACACGAAAAACCUUACCAGGUCUUGACAUUUUCUUGCGAAGUUAUAGAAAUAUAAUGGAGGUUAUCAGGAAAACAGGUGGUGCAUGGUUGUCGUCAGCUCGUGUCGUGAGAUGUUAGGUUAAGUCCUAAAACGAGCGCAACCCUUGUCGUUAAUUGCCAGCAUGUAAUGAUGGGGACUUUAACGAGACUGCCAAUGAAAAAUUGGAGGAAGGUGGGGAUUACGUCAAAUCAUCAUGCCCCUUAUGAUCUGGGCUACAAACGUGAUACAAUGGUUGAUACAAAGAGUAGCUGAAACGCGAGUUCUUAGCCAAUCUCACAAAAUCAU